AAAUUGAAGAGUUUGAUCAUGGCUCAGAUUGAACGCUGGCGGCAGGCCUAACACAUGCAAGUCGAGCGGAAACGACAACAUUGAAUCUUCGGAGGAUUUGUUGGGCGUCGAGCGGCGGACGGGUGAGUAAUGCCUAGGAAAUUGCCUUGAUGUGGGGGAUAACCAUUGGAAACGAUGGCUAAUACCGCAUAAUGCCUA
rnacentral:rRNA from 1 species